rnacentral:rRNA from 1 species
UAUUGCACAAUGGGGGAAACCCUGAUGCAGCGACGCCGCGUGAGUGAAGAAGCGCCUCGGCGCGUAAAGCUCUGUCAGCAGGAACGAUAAUGACGGUACCUGAAGAAGAAGCCCCGGCUAACUACGUGCCAGCAGCCGCGGUAAUACGUAGGGGGCAAGCGUUAUCCGGAUUUACUGGGUGUAAAGGGAGCGUAGACGGCGGGGCAAGUCUGGAGUGAAAGGCCGGGGCCCAACCCCGGGACCGCUCUGGAAACUGCCCGGCUGGAGUGCGGGAGAGGUAAGCGGAAUUCCUAGUGUAGCGGUGAAAUGCGUAGAUAUUAGGAGGAACACCAGCGGCGAAGGCGGCUUACUGGACCGUGACUGACGUUGAGGCUCGAAAGCGUGGGGAGCAAACAGGA